AGCAGGGCGACCCUCUCAGUCUGAGAUUCAACAUGCUCCUACAGCCUUCCUCCUCCUCCUCCUCCUCCUGUCUCUGUCAGCCUGGUGCCACAGCGCCCCCUACAGGGCACAGCUGACACCACAGCCAGCUGCCCCUCGUACUGAGGUUUCAUCUUCUGACACCUGAGACGUGUUCAGAAUCAGUUUUAGUGAAAAUGAGAGGUUUCACCAGUGACUUUUACUUUUACUAUAUUAAAUGUAUCAGUGGACAACAGGCAUCACAAAGACCUCCAGUGGUCCUGUACUUUUACUGCUGAUACUUUAAGUACCUCGAGAUGUAUUAUGCAUCUGUACUUUUUAGUUAAGUAAUGUUUUGACUGCAGGACGUUAACUUAGUAACAGAGUAUUUUUACAUUGUGGUAUCACUGCUUCUACUGAAGUAACAGACCUGAAUACUUCCUCCUUCACUUCCUGUCAGACGUCACCAUGUUCCCAGACCUCAGCAGCUACUUUGGCUUCCCAAAGGGACGCUGCUGAGGAGCUGGCUCACCAAGUCGCGGCCCCGGCUGCUGCUGCUGAUCGCAGGCUUGAAGAGGCCUCAGGUGACCCUCAUGAGGAGGAAAAGGAUGAAGCGCACAAAAGUAGCAAAGGCCACGUAAGCGAACCUGCAGCCGAAUGCCUCAAUUCACCUGAGUCCUAGACAGAGACAAUUUGUUUGUUAGAGAUGAAUACAAAGGAAAGGAAGAGCUGUGUGCCAGGUCUUUGCCCCAGCAAUAAACUACAACCCAGGCACCGCAGAACGGAGAGAAGCCAGAGGACGAACCACAGAGACUGAGACCUCCAGACUAGUUUGGACUGCAUCUGGACCUAGACUACCAGCUGCACGUCCUGUUCUGGCACAUUAGACUGUGAUGACUGUAACUUGUGCACUGCUCCUAUUCAAACACAAACUGCUGGUAGAACAGCCAUCCAUGUGUUCCUAGUUCCGACUCUGUCAGGUUUCCAGGUUGAUGUGUUUGAGCCUCAGAAGAACCCAAAUGAGCUGCUGAUUAAACUUUUAAACCUGAUGGUAUGCCAACUCCUGCCUUGCAGUUUUCUCUCACAUCAAACCUUUGCA